GCCAGGCAUGGUGGCUCAUGCCUGUAAUCCCAGCACUUUGGGAGGCCGAGAUGGGUGGAUCACCUGAGGUCAGGAGUUCCAGACCAGCCUGACCAACAUGGUGAAACCCCAUCUCUA
rfam:Homo sapiens chromosome 19, GRCh38 reference primary assembly.